rnacentral:rRNA from 1 species
CAGCAGCCGCGGGAAUACGAAGGGUGCAAGCGUUACUCGGAAUUACUGGGCGUAAAGCGUGUGUAGGUGGUUGUUUAAGUCUGUCGUGAAAGCCCUGGGCUCAACCUGGGAAUUGCGAUGGAUACUGGGCGACUAGAGUGCGGUAGAGGAUAAUGGAAUUUCCGGUGUAGCAGUGAAAUGCGUAGAGAUCGGAAGGAACAUCUGUGGCGAAGGCGACUAUCUGGGCCAACACUGACACUGAGACACGAAAGCGUGGGGAGCAAACAGGAUUAGAUACCCCUGUAGUCCCUGUCUCUUAUAA